rnacentral:misc_RNA from 1 species
GGGAAAACCAAAAAUUGCGAAGAAGCCUCCCUAAUACCAAAAUUCCUACUCUUACUUUCCAUGCAACGAUACUCUAAUAUUCUCUGUCGUUUAGUACUUAAAACUAGCCGAUUCACGUGAGCUGCGCCUCUCCAGUGGUCAACGCUGGUCACUAUUGUUGUCGUUCUUGUUCUUCGUGUAAUUGCUUAGAAAAGUGAAUGUGAUUUUCCCUUUUUUCUCUUCUGGUGGAUUAUGCGUAUUUUUUUUGGAUGGGAGAUGCAGAGAGUUGCAGUAGCAGAGCAGUGGAUUUUGUGCCCAGUCAGUGUCGAAACCAGAGGCAAACGUUUGAGGUAUAUAACGAAGUUCUUUGUCGACUCAGGGACUCCAAUGAUGAAGAGGCAAGGCUUCCUGGCUUUGAAGACCGUCUCUGGGCUCAUUUUUGUAGACUUCCUACUAGGUAUGCACUGGAUGUAAAUGCAGAGAGGGCACAAGAUGUUCUCAUGCAUAAGAGAUUACUUCAGCAGGCACAUGAUCCUGCUACUAGGCCUGCAAUUGAAGUCCGCCUUGUGCAGGUUCAUUCUAUCUGUGAUGGAAAUUGUGGCAACUCUGUUCGUUCACACUCUCCAGGAGAAGUGGAACUUCAAUAUUAUGAUCAUAUGUGCAAGCAGAGCAUUCUUCCACCGCCAGCCUUUGGUUCAUUGCCUGAGCUUGAACUUAUAUGUGAAGCUCGAGAGAAGGAUACCAACUUGAUUACCAAUCCACUUUACUCUAGGCUGAUGCAUGAAAUUACAAUUUCAACUAAUGAUAAACCAAAACUUCUCAGUCAGUUGACUUCCUUGCUGUCUGAGAUUGGUCUGAACAUUAAAGAAGCACAUGCCUUUUCCACAAUGGAUGGCUACUCCUUGGAUGUGUUUGUUGUUGAUAACUGGGAACAUGAGGAGACUGAGAAGCUGAAAAAUGUGCUGCUAAAGGAAAUUAAAAAAUUCGAGGUAGUCACUGUACAUGCUACUUGUUGGUCACAGUUGAUAAUAGGAAUUAUAUUUUUUAGAGGCAAAUAACUCUCUUUUUCCCUGUGCUUCUAAAAAUGUUUUGGCUUAAGCUUAAACUAUCCUUGUCGAUCCCAUGUCUGUAUCAUUCAAUUCCAUUAGAUAAUAAAAUAUCCAGGAUAAAUAAUUCCUGUUGUUAAAUGCUCCCUUUUGUUUGUUUUCAAAUGUUUAUAUGAAAAUUCCGGCUUUGAUGCUGCUCAUCCUCACCAUUUUUCACCACUUAAUUGCAGAGUAAAAUAAAUAACUAGAAAAGAAAAAAAGAAUUGAAGUAUUAACAUUGGGGAACUCACUGUAAACUGUUGCAACCUUGUAGUUGUGGCCAUCCUUGAUGAUCCAACUGCAAGUCAUCAAUUCCCUAUUUGAUUCUAGGAUGGACUUAUCAUGGAAUGACUCUGAUUGCUAUAAACCUACUCUGGCACAUUCUAUUUCACUAUUCUAUUUAUAGUUCCAUGUUAAUCCGUGGUAAAGGAAUAAUGCUAAUUAUAAUGAAUUUGAUGCAGUUUUAUAAAUCUUUUUAGCGGUGCAUCUUUUUAUACUUGAUAAUAUGAAGUGCAAUGCAGAAGUAUACUCGGUUGAAAUCUAAUGCCAUCUAUCCUGUUGUGGAGCGAGAGCAAAAUGGGACGAUCAGUGGUAUCUGUAAUCAUGCCAACAUACCUGCCAACCAAAUGGAUGUUUGGGAAAUUGAUGCAAGUCUGUUGAAAUAUGAAAACAAAAUUGCAUCAGGAUCCUAUGGGGAUCUGUAUAAAGGUACGUUCUGCGGUCAAGAUGUGGCUAUCAAAGUUCUUAGGACUGAACAUCUAAAUGAUAAAUUGCGAAGGGAAUUUGCUCAAGAAGUAUUUAUCAUGAGGUUGAUCGUACAAUUUUAGUUUCGGUUGUUUAUGCUUUCAUCACAAUGACUACCAUAACCAUGCUUAUAUAUGUGGACAGUGCUUUUAAAGAUACUAUCUCAAUGUGCUGGGUUGAUUCCCUUGGGAAUCUUUAAGAAAAUAUAUGCUGUGAUCUGCACCCUACUGUUAGAACUUUCGUCCUCCUUGAGACUUAUUGGAAAUUUGCAGGAGAGUCCGGCACAAGAAUGUUGUACAAUUUAUUGGUGCAUGUACCAGACCUCCGACCCUGUGUAUUGUGACAGAAUUUAUGUGUGGUGGAAGCAUGUUUGACUUUCUGCAUAAACAAAAGCAAAGUUUUAAUCUCCAGUCCUUGCUCAGAGUAGCAAUUGAUGUUUCCAAGGGAAUGAACUACUUGCACCAAAAUAAUAUAAUACAUAGAGAUCUGAAAGCUGCCAAUUUUUUGAUGGAUGAAAAUAGGGUGGUUAAGGUUGCUGAUUUUGGUGUUGCUAGAGUGAAGGCUCAAUCUGGAGUUAUGACAGCUGAAACUGGGACCUAUAGAUGGAUGGCUCCUGAGGUCAUCGAACACAAACCAUAUGACCACAAGGCUGAUGUUUUUAGUUUUGGGAUUGUAUUAUGGGAGUUGUUAACCGGAAAGGUAUUGUUGCUCAUCAAACUUUGUCUAGUUUCAUUGGAGGUAUUUUUAUCUCUGAGUUGUAGAUGUAUUUUUGGCUCACAGCUUCCAUAUGAGUACUUAACCCCAUUGCAAGCAGCUGUUGGUGUGGUCCAAAAGGUACAACAUCUUUGGCGCAAGUCCACAUCUGCUGAAAUCUUGUUCAUAAUAUAUCCAAUGGAGAGUUUGCAAGAGUAUUUGCAAUUAUAUAAUUACUUCAUGAUUUAUUUCACAUGCUGCUUUCAUUGACAUGAUUUCAGGGUUUACGACCAACAACUCCGAAGCACACUCAUCCAAAGCUGUCUGAGCUGCUUGAGAAAUGCUGGCAGCAAGAUCCAGCACUACGACCAGACUUCACUGAGAUCAUAGAGAUUCUGCAGCAAAUAGCGAAGGAGGUUGGGGAAGAAGGCGAGGGGCGCAAGGACAAAUCAUCCGGAGGAUUCCUAUCUGUGUUACGAAGGGGGCACCACCACUGAAGUAGAACGGAGGUAUAAAGAUGUUCAUAAGCUGAUGAAGAAAAGGUCUAAUUGAUGUGAGCCAUCUUUUCAUCUAUCUGGUCAUCAACGUGGUAAUAACAUUUUGUCCAAAUAAUCAAUCUUAUUUAAUAUUUUUGGGGAAUUCGAUACCAUUUUCACAUGGUUCGAUCACAGCAUUAAAUUAUGCAGUGAGGGGUUGUGCGGACGAGCUUUGUAAGAGUAACAAACCAGAUAUUUAGCGGCCUAAUAAUACACCAAAUAGUGUUCUUAUGAUUUUAUUAACAAUUCCUAUCGUUUGAUUAUUGCAAUCGCC